rnacentral:rRNA from 1 species
UACGAGAGGUCCAAACGUUAUUCGGAAUCACUGGGCUUACAGAGUUCGUAGGCGGUCCAGAAAGUGGGGUGUGAAAGCCCUCGGCUUAACCGAGGAACUGCGCUCCAAACUACUGGGCUAGAGGAAGAUAGAGGUGAGCAGAACUGAUGGUGGAGCGGUGAAAUGCGUUGAUAUCAGCAGGAAUACCGGAGGCUAAGGCGGCUCACUGGGUCUUUUCUGACGCUGAGGAACGAAAGCUAGGGGAGCAAACGGG